UCAAUUAUAUGUUGGAAGUGCUCCUGAAAGAUCCUAGAGCUUUAACAGCACCUGCUCUCAAGAUGUAUUGGUGGUAGAGUGCAGCAAUUGCAGCACCAAUGAAAGGCCCAACCCAGAAAAUCCACUGAAAAAAGAAAAUUAAAUUAGCUAAUGUAAUGGAAUUAAGUAUAAUAAGAAACUAAUUAUAGAGGAAAACAGCAUACUUGGUCAUCCCAGGCCUUGUCCUGGUUGUAGAUCACAGCAGCUCCAAAGCUCCUAGCUGGGUUGAUGCCAGUGCCAGUGACUGGAAUUGUGGCCAGAUGAACCAUGAACACAGCAAAUCCAAUUGGGAGUGGAGCCAAGAC
rnacentral:lncRNA from 1 species